AUUUCCAUAUAAAUUCCCGCCCUCUCCUUCGUCACAUCCUCUUGAAGUUGGUGUCAUCUCCCCGAGACACAUCUCCACAAGAUGAGAGCAAAGUGGAGGAAGAAGCGUAUGCGCAGGCUGAAGCGUAAAAGGAGAAAGAUGAGGCAGAGGUCUAAGUAGACUGGCCCAUCCACGGCAGCUGUGGGUCCCCUGUCCCCGACGAUCCAGUCCUCAAGUUCCUGUAGAUAUCCUUGGCUCAAAGGGCACCUGGAAGGACGGCAAACACCAGUACCAUCGCCAUGCCAUGCGCUGAGCGACCUGCUACAGUUUGCAUCAGGAGUCAUGUCAGGAUUUGGAGCUGGAGAGUUGUGGGAAUUCAGGACAUUUCUCGUUUUGGGGCUUACUUUGGAUUCAUGACAUCUAUCCAACACAGCUGGUGCGCUCCUGUAAUGACCAUAAUAAAAGUUCUGGUUUAUACACUUAA